UACGGGGGGGGGCAAGCGUUGUUCGGAAUUACUGGGUGUAAAGGGUUCGUAGGCGGUGCGGCAAGUCGGGAGUGAAAUCUCUGGGCUUAACCCAGAGGCUGCUUCCGAAACUGCUGUGCUUGAGUGUGGGAGAGGCGCGUGGAAUUGCAGGUGUAGCGGUGAAAUGCGUAGAUAUCUGCAGGAACACCCGUGGCGAAAGCGGCGCGCUGGACCACUACUGACGCUGAGGAACGAAAGCUAGGGGAGCAAACAGG
rnacentral:rRNA from 1 species